CCUACGGGUGGCAGCAGUGGGGGAUAUUGCACAAUGGGGGAAACCCUGAUGCAGCGACGCCGCGUGGACGAAGAAGUAUUUCGGUAUGGAAAGCCCUAUCAGUAAGGAAGAAGAAAUGACGGUACCUGAGUAAGAAGCACCAGCUAAAUAAGUGCCAGCAGCCGCGGUAAUACGGAUGGUGGAAGCGUUAUCCGGAUUUACUGGGUGUAAAGGGAGCGCAGGGGGCAUGGGAAGCCUGUUGUGAAAGUCCGCGGCGCAACCGAGGAACUGCAUUUGAAACUAGCGGUCUUGAGUGCCGGUGAGGUAGGCGGAAUUCCUAGUGUAGCGGUGAAAUGCGUAGAUAUUACGAAGAACUCCAAUGGCGAAGGCAGCCUACUAAACUGUCACUGACACUGAGGCUCGAAAGCGUGGGUAUCAAACAGGAUUAGAUACCCCUGUAGUC
rnacentral:rRNA from 1 species